rnacentral:rRNA from 1 species
UACGUAGGGGCAAGCGUUGUCCGGAUUUAUUGGGCGUAAAGAGCGUGUAGGCGGCUAGAUAGGUCCGUUGUGAAAACUCGAGGCUCAACCUCGAGACGUCGAUGGAAACCAUCUGGCUAGAGUCCGGAAGAGGAGAGUGGAAUUCCUGGAUGUAGCGGUGAAAUGCGCAGAUAUCAGGAGGAACACCGGUGGCGAAGGCGGGUCUCUGGGCGAGUAACUGACGCUGGAGGAGCGAAAGCGUGGGAUCAAACAGG